CAAUAGCGUAUAUUAACGUUGUUGCAGUUAAAAGGCUCGUAGUCGAACUUAUGACCCUGUUGCACCUGGUCAACUCUCUAGUAGAGUUAGUGCCGGUGUGCACGGGUCAUCUUUCUGGAGAGCACUUCUGCCCUUGAUUGGGUUGGUUGUGUAAUUCAGAUCAUUUACUGUGAGAAAAUCAGUGUGUUCAAAGCAGGCUUGAUUGCUCGCAUGGUUCAGCAUGGAAUAAUAAGAUAAGACUUCGGUUUUAUUUUGUUGGCUAUAGAACCAAAGUAAUGAUUAAUAGGGAUGGUUGGGGGUGCUAGUAUUCAGUGGCCAGCGGUGAAAUGCGUAGACCCACUGAAGACUAACUAAUGCGAAANCANNNACCAAGGACAUCUUCUUNGA
rnacentral:rRNA from 1 species